rnacentral:misc_RNA from 1 species
AGCAGCCGCGGUAAUUCCAGCUCCAAUAGCGUAUAUUAAAGUUGUUGCAGUUAAAAAGCUCGUAGUUGAAUUUCGGGAUCAUCAUGUCGGUCGUGCCUCGGUACGUACUGGCAUUGUUGGUUUCUACCUUCUGACGAACCAUGAUGUCAUUUAUUUGGUGUCGUGGGAAAUCAGGACUGUUACUUUGAAAAAAUUAGAGUGUUUAAAGCAGGCUCACGCUUGAAUACAUUAGCAUGGAAUAAUGAAAUAGGACGUUUGAUUCUAUUUUGUUGGUUUCUAGGAUCGACGUAAUGAUUAAUAGGGAUAGUUGGGGGCAUUAGUAUUCAAUUGUCAGAGGUGAAAUUCUUGGAUUUUAUUGAAGACUAACUACUGCGAAAGCAUUUGCCAAGGAUGUUUUCAUUAAUCAAGAACGAAAGUUAGGGGAUCGAAGACGAUCAGAUACCGUCGUAGUCUUAACCAUAAACUAUGCCGACUAGGGAUCGGAUGAUGUUAAUUUUUAAUGACUCAUUC